rnacentral:rRNA from 1 species
UACGUGGGGUGCAAACGUUGCUCGGAAUUAUUGGGCGUAAAGCGCGCGUAGGCGGUUACUUAAGUCGGAUGUGAAAGCCCUCGGCUUAACUGAGGAAGUGCACCCGAAACUGAGUAGCUAGAGUACGAAAGAGGGUCGCGGAAUUCCCGGUGUAGAGGUGAAAUUCGUAGAUAUCGGGAGGAACACCGGUGGCGAAGGCGGCGACCUGGGUCGAGACUGACGCUGAGGCGCGAAAGCGUGGGGAGCAAACAGG